rnacentral:rRNA from 1 species
CUCUCCCCGGAUAGGGGCCCUGGAAUAUAUAAAAGGCUACUCAGGAGAUGGGGAGGCAAGUCGUAACUUGGAAAGUGUACCGGAAGGUGCACUUGAGAUA